AGAGUUUGAUCCUGGCUCAGGAUGAACGCUAGCGGCAAGCUUAAUACAUGCAAGUCGAGGGGCAGCAUGAAGUAGCAAUACUUUGAUGGCGACCGGCAAACGGGUGCGGAACACGUACACAACCUUCCUUUUAGUGGGGAAUAGCCCAGAGAAAUUUGGAUUAAUACCCCGUAACAUGACCGAGUGGCAUCACUUGGUUAUUAUAGCUUCGGCGCUAAAUGAUGGGUGUGCGUAUGAUUAGAUAGUUGGCGAGGUAACGGCUCACCAAGUCUACGAUCAUUAGCUGAUGUGAGAGCAUGAUCAGCCACACGGGCACUGAGACACGGGCCCGACUCCUACGGGAGGCAGCAGUAAGGAAUAUUGGUCACUGGACGCAAGUCUGAACCAGCUAUGCCGCGUGAAGGAUUAAGGUCCUCUGGAUUGUAAACUUCUUUUAUCUGGGACGAAAAAAGGUCUUUCUAGACCCCUUGACGGUACCAGAUGAAUAAGCACCGGCUAACUCCGUGCCAGCAGCCGCGGUAAUACGGAGGGUGCAAGCGUUAUCCGGAUUCACUGGGUUUAAAGGGUGCGUAGGCGGGUAGGUAAGUCAGUGGUGAAAUCCUGGAGCUCAACUCCAGAACUGCCAUUGAUACUAUCUAUCUUGAAUAUUGUGGAGGUAAGCGGAAUAUGUCAUGUAGCGGUGAAAUGCUUAGAUAUGACAUAGAACACCCAUUGCGAAGGCAGCUUACUACGCAUAUAUUGACGCUGAGGCACGAAAGCGUGGGAUCAAACAGAUUAGAUACCCUGGUAGUCCACGCCCUAAACGAUGGAAUACUCGACAUACGCGAUACACCUGUGUGUGUCUGAGCGAAAGCAUUAAGU
rnacentral:rRNA from 1 species